rnacentral:rRNA from 1 species
AUUGAACGCUGGCGGCAUGCUUUACACAUGCAAGUCGAACGGCAGCGCGGGCUUCGGCCUGGCGGCGAGUGGCGAACGGGUGAGUAAUACAUCGGAACGUGCCCAGUAGUGGGGGAUAGCUCGGCGAAAGCCGGAUUAAUACCGCAUACGACCUGAGGGUGAAAGCGGGGGAUCUUCGGACCUCGCGCUAUUGGAGCGGCCGAUGGCAGAUUAGCUUGUUGGUGGGGUAAAGGCCUACCAAGGCGACGAUCUGUAGCUGGUCUGAGAGGACGACCAGCCACACUGGGACUGAGACACGGCCCAG